AGACCCGAAACCCGGUGAUCUAGCCAUGGGCAGGUUGAAGGUUGGGUAACACUAACUGGAGGACCGAACCGACUAAUGUUGAAAAAUUAGCGGAUGACCUGUGGCUGGGGGUGAAAGGCCAAUCAAACCGGGAGAUAGCUGGUUCUCCCCGAAAGCUAUUUAGGUAGCGCCUCGUGAAUUCAUCUCCGGGGGUAGAGCACUGUUUCGGCUAGGGGGUCAUCCCGACUUACCAACCCGAUGCAAACUGCGAAUACCGGAGAAUGUUAUCACGGGAGACACACGGCGGGUGCUAACGUCCGUCGUGAAGAGGGAAACAACCCAGACCGCCAGCUAAGGUCCCAAAGUCAUGGUUAAGUGGGAAACGAUGUGGGAAGGCCCAGACAGCCAGGAUGUUGGCUUAGAAGCAGCCAUCAUUUAAAGAAAGCGUAAUAGCUCACUGGUCGAGUCGGCCUGCGCGGAAGAUGUAACGGGGCUAAACCAUGCACCGAAGCUGCGGCAGCGACACUCAGGUGUUGUUGGGUAGGGGAGCGUUCUGUAAGCCUGCGAAGGUGGCCUGUGAGGGUUGCUGGAGGUAUCAGAAGUGCGAAUGCUGACAUAAGUAACGAUAAAGCGGGUGAAAAGCCCGCUCGCCGGAAGACCAAGGGUUCCUGUCCAACGUUAAUCGGGGCAGGGUGAGUCGACCCCUAAGGCGAGGCCGAAAGGCGUAGUCGAUGGGAAACGGGUUAAUAUUCCCGUACUUGGUGUUACUGCGAAGGGGGGACGGAGAAGGCUAUGUUGGCCGGGCGACGGUUGUCCCGGUUUAAGCGUGUAGGUGUGUGUUCCAGGUAAAUCCGGUUCACUUUAACACUGAGGCGUGAUGACGAGGCACUACGGUGCUGAAGCAACAAAUGCCCUGCUUCCAGGAAAAGCCUCUAAGCAUCAGGUAACAUCAAAUCGUACCCCAAACCGACACAGGUGGUCAGGUAGAGAAUACCAAGGCGCUUGAGAGAACUCGGGUGAAGGAACUAGGCAAAAUGGUGCCGUAACUUCGGGAGAAGGCACGCUGACACGUAGGUGAAGUGAUUUACUCAUGGAGCUGAAGUCAGUCGAAGAUACCAGCUGGCUGCAACU
rnacentral:rRNA from 1 species